GGCGCAUCCCCGGGGGGCCGCUUAUGCGCGGCUGAGAGGUGGUCCGCAGACCACGACCCGCUGAACCUGAUCCGGCUGAUUACCGGCGUAGGGAGGGCAAGGCGGCACGUC
rnacentral:ncRNA from 2 species